ACAACUCUAAUCCUCAAUAACAUCAUUAUAAUACAUAACUGUUCAAUACUAUACUUUACAUUACAUCAUUCUCAUGUCCACUUCUAACUAUUACAUAGACAUGACUUUACUCUAGCUGACCUCCUGGCCUAUCCCGUACCUGCAAACCUGGGGAAAUUUGGGAGUGGGGUGAGCUACUAGAGCCCAGUGAGUAGAAUAAUAAAACAUUGUAUUUUAAA
rnacentral:lncRNA from 1 species